GAGUUUGAUCCUGGCUCAGGAUGAACGCUGGCGGCGUGCCUAAUACAUGCAAGUCGAGCGAACGGACGAGAAGCUUGCUUCUCUGAUGUUAGCGGCGGACGGGUGAGUAACACGUGGAUAACCUACCUAUAAGACUGGGAUAACUUCGGGAAACCGGAGCUAAUACCGGAUAAUAUUUUGAACCGCAUGGUUCAAAAGUGAAAGACGGUCUUGCUGUCACUUAUAGAUGGAUCCGCGCUGCAUUAGCUAGUUGGUAAGGUAACGGCUUACCAAGGCAACGAUGCAUAGCCGACCUGAGAGGGUGAUCGGCCACACUGGAACUGAGACACGGUCCAGACUCCUACGGGAGGCAGCAGUAGGGAAUCUUCCGCAAUGGGCGAAAGCCUGACGGAGCAACGCCGCGUGAGUGAUGAAGGUCUUCGGAUCGUAAAACUCUGUUAUUAGGGAAGAACAUAUGUGUAAGUAACUGUGCACAUCUUGACGGUACCUAAUCAGAAAGCCACGGCUAACUACGUGCCAGCAGCCGCGGUAAUACGUAGGUGGCAAGCGUUAUCCGGAAUUAUUGGGCGUAAAGCGCGCGUAGGCGGUUUUUUAAGUCUGAUGUGAAAGCCCACGGCUCAACCGUGGAGGGUCAUUGGAAACUGGAAAACUUGAGUGCAGAAGAGGAAAGUGGAAUUCCAUGUGUAGCGGUGAAAUGCGCAGAGAUAUGGAGGAACACCAGUGGCGAAGGCGACUUUCUGGUCUGUAACUGACGCUGAUGUGCGAAAGCGUGGGGAUCAAACAGGAUUAGAUACCCUGGUAGUCCACGCCGUAAACGAUGAGUGCUAAGUGUUAGGGGGUUUCCGCCCCUUAGUGCUGCAGCUAACGCAUUAAGCACUCCGCCUGGGGAGUACGACCGCAAGGUUGAAACUCAAAGGAAUUGACGGGGACCCGCACAAGCGGUGGAGCAUGUGGUUUAAUUCGAAGCAACGCGAAGAACCUUACCAAAUCUUGACAUCCUUUGACAACUCU
rnacentral:rRNA from 1 species